rnacentral:rRNA from 1 species
UACGGAGGGUGCAAGCGCUGUCCGGAUUUAUUGGGUUUAAAGGGUGCGUAGGCGGCCCUCUAAGUCAGUGGUGAAAUACUGCAGCUUAACUGUAGCAUUGCCAUUGAUACUGGAGGGCUUGAGUACAGAUGAGGUAGGCGGAAUUUAUGGUGUAGCGGUGAAAUGCAUAGAUACCAUAAAGAACACCUAUUGCGAAGGCAGCUUACUAAGCUGUAACUGACGCUGAGGCACGAAAGCGUGGGGAGCGAACAGG